GCUCAAAUUUGAAAUCUGGUACCUUCGGUGCCCGAGUUGUAAUUUGGACAGGGCAACUUUGGGGCCGUUCCUUGUCUAUGUUCCUUGGAACAGGACGUCAUAAAGGGUGAGAAUCCCGUGUGGCGAGGAGUGCGGUUCUUUGUAAAGUGCCUUCUAAGAGUCAAGUUGUUUGGGAAUGCAGCUCUAAUUGGGUGGUAAAUUCCAUCUAAAGCUAAAUAUUGGCGAGAGACCGAUAGCGAACAAGUACAGUGAUGGAAAGAUGAAAAGAACUUUGAAAAGAGAGUGAAAAAGUACGUGAAAUUGUUGAAAGGGAAGGGCAUUUGAUCAGACAUGGUGUUUUGUGCCCUCUGCUCCUUGUGGGUAGGGGAAUCUCGCAUUUCACUGGGCCAGCAUCAGUUUUGGUGGCAGGAUAAAUCCAUAGGAAUGUAGCUUGCCUCGGUAAGUAUUAUAGCCUGUGGGAAUACUGCCAGCUGGGACUGACGACUGCGACGUAAGUCAAGGAUGCUGGCAUAAUGG
rnacentral:rRNA from 1 species